UACGGAGGGGGCUAGCGUUGUUCGGAAUUACUGGGCGUAAAGCGCACGUAGGCGGCUUUGCAAGGCAGAGGUGAAAGCCCGGGGCUCAACCCCGGAAUUGCCUUUGAGACUGCAUCGCUAGAAUUGUGGAGAGGUAAGUGGAAUUCCGAGUGUAGAGGUGAAAUUCGUAGAUAUUCGGAAGAACACCAGUGGCGAAGGCGACUUACUGGACACAUAUUGACGCUGAGGUGCGAAAGCGUGGGGAGCAAACAGG
rnacentral:rRNA from 1 species